rnacentral:lncRNA from 1 species
GUUUGAGUCCGGGUCCUACCCUAGACCCGAUCAUAAAUACGUUAAGUUUAUUAGGUAUAUUUGGAUAUUUCGAAUAUGUUUCGGUAUUAUGGAUAUUUUUCUAAGUUUUUGGUUUACGAUUAUAUUUUUUUUAUUUCAGGUAAAUUUUCAAAUUAAAAAAAUUGGUUAUUUGAAUAAAAUUUUGGAUAUUUUUUAGUUCAUCAUGUCAGAUUUUGAAUUUUGAAUUUUAUAGGUAUUUGUUUGGAGUUUCAAGUACAUUAUUGUACAAAAACAUGGUUGAUGAAAUAUUUUUCUUGGAAAAAGUAUCAUAAGGAAUAAUAUUAGGAUCUGUUAAAAAUAUUUAAAAUAUUGUAUGGUUAGAAUGAUUAAUGGUAUCACCAAAAAAAUAAUAAAUAGUUAU